CAGCCGCCACGGUAAUACGUAGGGUCCGAGCGUUGUCCGGAAUUAUUGGGCGUAAAGGGCUCGUAGGCGGUUUGUUGCGUCGGGAGUGAAAACCCAGGGCUUAACUUUGGGCUUGCUUUCGAUACGGGCAGACUUGAGGCAUUGAGGGGAGAACGGAAUUCCUGGUGUAGCGGUGAAAUGCGUAGAGAUCUGGAGGAAUACCGAUGGCGAAGGCAGCCAUCUGGCCUAAUACUGACGCUGAGGUACGAAAGCAUGGGGAGCAAACAGGAUUAGAUACCCCUGUAGUCCCUGUCUCUUAUAA
rnacentral:rRNA from 1 species